UUUCCGUAGAUGAACCUGCGGAAGGAUCAUUAAUGAGUUGUCAUGGGGUUCGAUGCUGGCAGCCAAUUUUUGGAUGCAUGUGCUUGCCCUAACAAUCAUCUUCCAAACACCUGUGCACAUUUUUGAGGGAGUCUUGAGUUGGUUGCCGCUCUUGGGUGAUUUUAUCACAUUCCCUUAAAUCAUUAUACGCUAUUAACAAUGUUGAACGUGCUCUGUGCCGCAAGGCUAUUAAUAUAAUACAACUUUUAACAACGGAUCUCUUGGCUCUC
rnacentral:misc_RNA from 1 species